rnacentral:rRNA from 1 species
CCCUUAGAUGUUCUGGGCCGCACGCGCGCUACACUGAUGCAUUCAACGAGUUUCUUCCUGGUCCGAGAUGAAUGGGUAACCUUUUGAAAGUGCAUCGUGAUAGGGAUAGACUAUUGCAAUUAUUGGUCUUCAACGAGGAAUUCCUAGUAGACGUAGUUCAUCAGACUGCAUCGAUUACGUCCCUGCCCUUUGUACACACCGCCCGUCGCUCCUACCGAUUGAAUGCUCAGGUGAGCCAUUCGGACUUUCAUCAUGCUGGUUUCCAGUUUUGAUGAAGGAAAGUCUUGCGAACCUUAUCAUUUAGAGGAAGGAGAAGUCGUAACA